CAACUUCCCUCAACUUCCCGCCAAUUUUUCUCCCACAUCCUUUCACUAUCCCCAACUUCCACACACACAACACAAGAAGCAUGCGCACACAUGCACUAUAAAAAAACACACACACGGACACUUAGAGAGAGGGAGACAAAACAAAAAGUUAAAAGAAAAAGGAAACAACAUCAAAAGAAGAGGACAACCAGAAAGAAAAGAAAGAAAAACAAAGUGAGAAAAGGUAGAAAGGGAAAAAGAAAAAGAAAGUUAUAGUUUGAGCUUAGACUUCCGUUUGAGUUAUCGGUGACGUCGUUCUUGCUUCGAUACUUGGGGUUUAAUUUGUCAUACAGGUUUUUAUCCUAUCUUGUACUAUUAUUUUAUAAGUUUUCGUGAAUCAAAAUGUGAAUGAAAUUAAUUAAAUACCUUCAUGUAUUAUUUAGCAUGUAAACUUAAUUAUUUAAACGUGAGGUUUUGGAUAUGAUUGUGAAUUUAGUAAUCAUAAUAUUUUUUUAGAUGUGUAGUUGUAUUCUAAACCACGACUUUGGAUUCGUGAAUGCAUGCAUGCAAAAAGAUUUUAAAAAGGUUGAAAAAUAACAUGCACAUACAACACUUCUAUAUAUAUUUUGCAUACACACACCGAAACGGACACAAAAAAAAACACAAAGGGAAGGAACAUUUAGGAGAAAAAAACAUACGGGGAGAAAACCAAAAAAGAAGACACUAAGCAAAUGCUAGUCUUUUACGUACAUAACCAAGUUAGUACUAGUAGUGUUUAUGUAUGUAUAUGUAAUUUGAGAGCUAUAGAUGUCGUAGGUUGUGAAGACAAUCAUUUUGUGUGUAGGCUGAAGUUUGAUCACAUUAUCAUACCCUAAAUGCUUUUGUUUAAUGAAAAAUUAUAGUCAAAAAAUGUAAUUGUUUUACUUUAUCAUGUCCGCAUAUCUUCAAUUAUUUUUUUUAGUCAUGUAUUUUAGUUCAAUUAAAUUAUCAUUAUAAUGAUAUGUUUAGACCUUGUUAAGUGAAUGAAGUUGAAUCCAUAUCUAAUUUAUUUUUUUUCAUUAUUGUUUUUUGUUAAGAAAAAUAAUAAGGAGAUUUUUAUUUGAACAAUUAGUCAGUGUUUAGUAAGGACACAACAAAAUUAUUGUAUUAGUGUGUUCAAGUAUGAAUUUAGUUUCAAGAAUAAUAAAAAAAAUCAAGAGAUAUACCGUAUAUCUUUUUGUUAAAGAAAAAAAAGAUAAUUUUUGAUACAAUAAUAUCUCUGUCUUUUUGUUUACUAUUUUUUGUAGUCUCAUGUUUAAAAAAUCAGCCAUGGGAAUUAAAAAUAUAACUAAUGAGCAUAUCAUUUUUAUUCUCACUUGCUUUUUACUGUUUCGAUCCAUAUUGUCGUAAUAUUUAGAUAUUUAUUGACUAAUGACUUAAUUGCAUUAAUUUGAUGAUAGAUUGUGUGUUUUGAUAUUCUAACACUUUGAACUUACUUAAGCUUGGACGAUCAUUUAGGGUUUCAUCUAUUAAUUUGUGUGAAAUUUGAGUGAGAUAGGUUGUAAAUGUACUUUAGACCUGUCGACAUUAAAAAAGAAAAGAUAGAAAAAAAAUUAUAAAGGAGCGAACCUGUAAGAGAAUGAUUUAAGUUCUUAACCUCUAAAAAUUAUAGUUUAAUACAAGUGAAUGUUAACUAUGAAGUUUGAGAGCCCUGCUACGGACUAUUCAUUAUAAUAAAAUUAACAUAUCAUUUCAAAGCCGAUUUGAUUGGGAUGGGUAAACUUUAAACAUGUUAGAUCCUUAUAGACUUGGGAAAGAUGGGAACGAUCCAUAAAUGCAUCAAAGGCGUGAGAAAUAUAUCAAAACUCGUGAAAAGUCCGAAAAGUACUGCUACUAAUAAGCCAUACAUUAACAUAAUAAGAUAGUUUUAGAUAUAUUCAAAAUAAAUUAAAGCCAGGAUAGAAGUCACUUUUAGGUUCCCAAAAAUAGUUUCAGAAUCAGGCAAUCAAUAGUUAGGCAGAACAAUCACCGAAAUACAUUUUCUCAAUCAAAAUUGACUGUAAAUCAGCAAAACAAUUCAAAUAAUAACAAAAAAAUAUAUUAACAUCAUACAAACAAACAAAACGUGAUCUGAGAAUCGAAAAUAAAUGCCCAAGCAUAUAAAUAAAUGUCGAAAUUCAUAGAGUUUGCCAAAAAUUAUACAACUUUGGCUAAAUAAUAUCAAAAUUUAUAUUUAAUAAAUAUAUUAAGACGACGGAGAUGAGUAGCGGUGUUACUUCAACAACUUUCGUUUGAGAAACAACAAAAUCUAAGAUCCGUUCAGAUCUGCCCAUUUUCCAACGAGGCAGUGUUUGUGGUAUUGUUCGCUGGUCACCGGUGGUCAGAUCCGGCGAAGACUAUGGGAAGAAGGGGAAAGAAAAAGGGGUGAUAGCGAUUGUUGAUUUUUGAUGAUGAAGCUUUGGCAGUGGAGGCUAUGAUAGUUUGCUGUUGGUAUUAGUGGCUGCCGGCUGUCCGGUGGUCAAACCCGGCGGCAAUUGUGAGUGGGGUUUCACUGGUGGUUGGUUAGGGUGGCUGUCGGUGACUGCUGUUGGCAGCAGCAUCGUCUGGAAGUACUGGUGGUCGCUGGCAGGACAGGAGAGGAGGAAGGGAGUUGGUUGUCUUAUGGACUGCUCCGGCAGCGGCGACAAGUGAAGAAGAUAAGAGAGAAAGAGAAAAAUAUAUGGCUCUUUUCCUGUGUAUGUGUAGUGUAUUUUGUGUAUUUAUUGUGUGUAUGUGUGUUGGGUAUUUAAUUUUUUUAAUCAAAUCUACACUCACCAAACAUAUCCCUUAGAUUUAGGAAAGUAGACGUGAAAAAGUCAAAAGUGAAGGAAAUAGGAAAAGAAAAUUUUAAAAAAAGAAUGAAGAGAGAUGAAUAAAAAUAUGAUAUUGUUUGUGUGUGUAUUGGAUUUGGAUGUGUGGGUGUGAAUUGUAUCUUACAAAAUAUAAAUCCCCCACCAUUUAUUUAUAAUAAAAAACAUUUUUUCUACUACUCAAAAAUAAAAAGAUGUCCUUUUUCUUACAAUGGCACACUCUUUGGUCCUUAGAAUAUUGAUCAAAGGAUUUUCAUCUUUUGACCAACGGGUAAAAUUAUUGUUUAAAGGGUAGUGUAAUUGAGUUGCCAUUGUCAGAUGUGACAAGACAUUAUUGUGUGGUCAUUGUCAGAUGAGAUAAGACACUGAAUCAUUCUUGUACUGUGUAUUGAAAUAACUGAUCCGACUCAAUUUUUACGGAUUGUAAUAAAUGUAAAAAAAAUGCAUGUAUUGAUAUGUAAUUACAGAAAAAUGUAAAAAUACUGAAAGUAUAAAAAAUGUAAUUACAUUUAAAAUACUAUAAAAAUGUGACGUCUUGUCGUGCACGUGUUCAGAUGAUUGUAAAAUGUUAAAAACAAUAAUGAAUUGAUAAAAAUUCUAAUAUAAGGAGGAUUAUUAAUGAAUUAUGAAAAGUUAAAAUGUGACAAGAAAUUGAUAAAAAUCCUAAAGUAAGGAUGAUUAUCAUUAAUUUUUCAACAAUUAUAAAAAGGAUGUGAAAAUUGUAUUUUGUACCCUUUAAUGAUCAAGAAGCCCGAAGACGUUAAUUUUAAGCACGAAAAGUAAAAAUUGGGUAUCAACAGUUGCCCUUUUUUGUUUGAGGAUGAUGUAGAAGUCUUCAAAUGAAAAUGUUGACGUGUAGCCAAUUUUGUUCGACAUAAAAUAUUUUUUUGAAGAAAAUUCGAUCGAACUCUAAUUUAGAAUUACCUACAUACCUCAAAUUAUAUGAAGAUCAGGUCGGGUAUAGUACAAAGGAAUAGGCAAAUUGCUUUUUGCCUUGUUAUUAGGGGAAAAUGAUUAUGUCGAAUGAUUAUUGAGAGAAAGAUUGUUUGGGAAUGAAAGUUCUCACAUAUUUCAAAUGCUUCUUUUGAAAUUACCCUAGUAUUGAGCUGUGAGAUGCAAGAUUGUGUACUUGCUAGGAAGAAAGAAUGACUAUUGGGUUGUGAUGACCGAACCUUGCAUAUAGCUUCCUACAUAUCUCGAGUGUCAUGAGAAUUGGGUCAAUGUAGUUCGAGAAUGAGAAAAUAAAAUUUUUUGGGACGGUUCUCAAAAUUUGCCUUAGUGUAUGACAUAUGAGAUUUGAAAAAAUCUGUUGUUAUUCUGAAUUGUAUUUUUUGUUUAAAAGAUACAUGAUGUCUUCGAUUGUCUACAGAGAAUUGAAGAUGAAUGAAGCCUUCGAUUAUUUACGGAGACUUGGAAAUGAAUGUUAUCUCUGAUUAUUUGUGGAGACUUAUAUGAUGAAUGACGCCUCCGAUUAUUUACGGAGACUUACGGAUGAAUGUUAUCUUUGAUAGUUUAAGGGGACUUUCGUGAUGAAUAAAAGAUGUCUUCGGUUGUCUGAAGACUGGUGUAAUAAAUAAAAUAUGGCUUCAAUUGUCUCAAGACUAUGUGAUAAAUGAAAGAUGUCUCCGAUUGUUUGAAGACUGAUAUGAUAAAUGAAAUUAUGGCUUCAAUUGUCUAUGAAGACUAUGUAAUGAAUAAAAGAUGUCUCCAAUUGUAUAUAAGACUGGUGCUGAUUAUCAUCUUCAACUGUCUACGGAGACUGAUAUUGAAUGAUGAUGUCUUUGAUUUUUUAUGAAGACUUGAUGCAUAACACCUCCAGUUGUCUAUAGGUUGGUGUUGAUUGUGGUCUCUAAUUAUCCACAAAGACUGAUAUUGAAUGAUGAUGUAUUUGAUUGUAUAUGAAAAUUUG
rnacentral:lncRNA from 1 species